rnacentral:lncRNA from 1 species
ACCCCUGGGCUGGUGGUCCUGAGUGGGAUGAGAAUGUGGCUGGGCAAGCCACAAGGAAUAAGCCAGUAAGCAGUGCUCCUCCGUGGCCUCAGCUUCAGCCCCUGCUUUGAGUUCCUGCCCUGACUGAUUUGUCUUGAGUCACAUCUCUCCUCCAACAUUAGUAUGUGUGAUACUCUGUGACUGGACUGAAGAUCUAUGGGGAAAUCAGAUUUGGCAUCAGAAGGCAUGCUGGCUUGAGAAAAUGGGCUGUGUCCAGAGUGAGCAGCCAGAGCUGAGGUACUGUAUGAAUUUAAGUCUGUUCCACUCUUUGCCAGGUGGAUCUGGAAAAAUACUGUUCUGCCAACUUCUCCAAGCAAGUCGGGUUUAGUUUUGAAAAGGGGGUUAUUUUGUGUAUUUUGUUG